rnacentral:misc_RNA from 1 species
GAUGAAUAACGCAGCAAAAUGCGAUAAGUAAUGUGAAUUGCAGAAUUCAGUGAAUCAUCGAAUCUUUGAACGCACAUUGCGCCCGCUGGUAUUCCGGCGGGCAUGCCUGUUCGAGCGUCAUUUCAACCCUCAAGCCCCCGGGUUUGGUGUUGGGGAUCGGCUCUGCCUUCUGGCGGUGCCGCCCCCGAAAUACAUUGGCGGUCUCGCUGCAGCCUCCAUUGCGUAGUAGCUAACACCUCGCAACUGGAACGCGGCGCGGCCAUGCCGUAAAACCCCAACUUCUGAAUGUUGACCUCGGAUCAGGUAGGAAUACCCGCUGAACUUAAGCAUAUCAAUAAGCGGAGGA